AUUGAACGCUGGCGGCAGGCCUAACACAUGCAAGUCGAACGAGUGGCGGACGGGUGAGUAAUGUCUGGGAAACUGCCUGAUGGAGGGGGAUAACUACUGGAAACGGUAGCUAAUACCGCAUACCAUCAGAUGUGCCCAGAUGGGCUUAGCUUGUUGGGGGGGUAACGGCUCACCAAGGCGACGAUCCCUAGCUGGUCUGAGAGGAUGACCAGCCACACUGGAACUGAGAAACGGUCCAGACUACUACGGGAGGCAGCAGUGGGGAAUAUUGCACAAUGGGCGAGAGCCUGAUGAAGCCAUGCCGCGUGUAUGAAGAAGGCCUUCGGGUUGGAAAGUACUUUCAGGGGGGAGGCGUUAUCCGCAGAGGAAGCACCGGCUAACUCCGUGCCAGCAGCCGCGGUAAUUC
rnacentral:rRNA from 1 species